AGUGUGAUGAAAAUUGAGGGAAAAGUCUUGAUGAUUGUUAGUUGUUGAGUGAACCAUGUGGCAUGCAAACUCCAUGCAUGUUGUCCGAAUAUGACCUUUUGUAAUGAAAUUAAGAUAACCUGCUGCUGGAAUUGAUUAAAUAUUAAGGUCUUGAGCUGCAAUUAGAAGAUGUCAUAGUUAUAAUUAAGAUGCCCUACUGUUGUAUCGUGAUUAAAAUGUAAGUAUUCAUGCUGUAAGUAUUUAUGUUGUCUUAAAACAUUACCUGAAGUGGAUUAAUUAUUGUAAUUUAAAUGGUCUUAAUAAUGAAUUUGUGGUAUCUUAAAAUGAUAAAUUGAGAGGAGUUAUAGCUGUAAUUUAUAGUGCUUGGGUGCCGUGGUUAAAAUGUAUAACUCUAGGAUUGAUAUUGAUGAUGUGUUGUUAAUGAAUAAAUCGAGUUUUAUUUGCCAAAUGACAUGUUAUUUUAGAAAUACAAAUUGAGUGUUGCUAAUGGCGAGUUUACUUUAACUCCUUUAUUAUUUCCAUGCUUGAAGUUCUUAUCAUUUUUACAUGGAUGAUUCGGCGAUAGUUAAAUAGGGAAAAAAAUUGUUCUUUACAAAUUUCAUGGUUGCUACUGUUUUGUACUAGUUAAACUCGUUUAUUUCAGAUUUAGUUGUUGUCCAAUUAGUGCAAAAAUUUCCUGUUGCUCAAGCAAAGUAGAUGCUGUUGCUACUCAUUUUUGUACUUUUAAAGCCCUGUUUAAGUACUGCAAUUUGAAGUGUUUAGUUGCUGAAAAUUGAGAUGUUUUAUUGUUGUAAUUAAGGUGUAUAAAUGUUGUUAAUAGAGAUGUUAAAGUGCUGCAAAUUGAAGUGUUUAAAUGUUGUAAAUUGAAGUGUUAAAGUGCUGCAAAUUGAGGUAUUUAAAUGUUGUGAAUUGAAGUGUUAAAGUGCUGCAAAUUGAAGUGUUUAAAUGUUGUAAAUUGAAGUGUUUAAAUGCUGUAAAUUGAAGUGUUUAAUUGCUAUAAAUUGAGGUGCUCAAAUGAUGUAAAUUGAAGUGUUUAGGUGCUGCAAAUUGAAGUAUUUAAAUGUUGUAAAUUGAAGUGUUUUAAGUACUGCAAAUUGAAUCCUUUAGUUGCUGGAAAUUGAGAUGUUUAUCGCUGUAAUUGAGGUGUAUAAAUGGUGUUAAUUAGGAUGUUAAAGUGUUGUAAGUUGAGGCGUUUAAAUGCUGUAAAUUGAAGUGUUUAAUUGCUAUAAAUUGAGGUGCUCAAAUGAUGUAAA